CCAGGACCGCCCAGUGGAGACAGUUGGAGAAGUCGAAGCUUGGAGAGAUUCUGUGAAUUGGUGAAGGACACAGAGCAAAGCCAGGAUUCAGAUUCAGACCUGCUUGACUCCAAGAUCAUUCCAGAAAUCUCCCUUUUCCUUUGGACCCUGUGACGUGACAGCUGGGUUCUUUCUGCUCUGAUUUCCAUGCCUGACAACCAUUUAAAUGGAAUACAAGAAUGCAGUUUUCUUAGGUUGAAAGAAAUUCACCCUUUAUCAAGAAUUAUUUAUAGUUCCUCUGGAGUGAGAGAGGAAGACAUUACCCACGCAGUGCUCUGUGGAAUCAUCUGAGCCACCACUUCUGCCUUGGGGACAUCAUCUGGGGAAGUAUCUAGAUCCUUUGGCUGAACAACGUGUUUUGAGGUCUUUAAUAUGUCACCUUAAGGAUGAGGCCUAGAGAACAUGGCCUUUUGUUGAACAGUUUGUAAGCUCUCAAAUGUGAGUAAAUGUGAGGAGGGUCUUGAGAGAUAUAGGAAGCUCAAGAAACCUAGCUAGAGUCUCUAGACUGUUGAGAAAAGUGGUGAGAAGAAAUUCCCAUUGUGGGGGAUGGGAGUGGUGGUUCAGGAGGAUUUUUGAGAAUGGGGAUAGAGAGCCUAGAAAUAAGGCCACACACCCAUGGCCAUCUGAUCUUCGACAAAGCAAGCAAUGAGUAAUGGACUCCUUGUUCAAUAAAUGGUGCCGGGUUGACUGAUUAGCCAUAUGCAGAAGAUUGAAACUGGACUCCUUCCUCACACCAUAUACAGAAAUCAACUCAAGAUGGAUUAAAGACUUAAAUGUAAAACCCAGAACUAUAAAAACUCUGGAAGACAACCUAGGCAAUACCACCCUGGAUAUAGGAACGGGCAAAGAUUUCAUGAUGAAGACACUAAAAGCAAUUGCAGCAAAAGCAAAAAUUGACAAAUGUGAUCUGAUUAAACCUAAGAGCUUCUGCACAGCAAAAGAAAUUAUCAACAGAGUAAACAGAGUAAACAACCUAUAGAAUAGGAGAAAAUAUUUGCAGACUAAGUAUCCAACAAAGGUCUCAUAUCCAGCAUCUAUAAGGAACUUAAACAAAUUUAUAAGAAAUAACUAACAAUUCCAACAAAAAGUGGGCAAAGUAUAUGAACAGACACUUUGCUAAAGUAGACAUAUAUGUGGCCAACAAGCAAAUGAAAAAAAGCUCAAUAUCAUGAUCAUUAGAGAAAUGCAAAUCAAAGCCACAAUAAGAUAUAUCAUCUCACACCAGUCAGAAUGGCUAUUAUUAAAAAGUCAAAAAAUAACCGAUGGCUGGUAAAGUUGCAGAGAAAAGGAAAUACUUAUACACUGUUAGUUGGAGUUUAAAUUAGUUCAACCAUUAUGGAAAGCAGUGUGGUGAUUCCUCAAAGAGCUAAAAACAGGACUACCAUUUGACCCAGCAAACCUAUUACUGGGUAUAUGCCCAGAGGAAUAGAAAUCAUUCUACCAUAAAAACAUGUGCAACAAAUGUUCAUUGUAGCACUAUCCAAAAUAGCAAAGACAUGGAAUCAACCUAAAUGUCCAUCAAUGACAGAUUGGAUAAAAAAUGUAGUACAUAGGUCCCAUGGAAUACUAUGCAACCAUAAGAAAGAACAAGAUCAUGUCUUUUGCAGGAACAUGAUGGAGCUGGAGGCCAUUAUCCUUAGCAAACUAAUGCAGAAACAGAAAACUAAAUAGUGCAUGCUCUUACUCAUAAGAGGGAGCUAAAUGAGGAGACAUCAUGAAUACAAAGAGGGGAACAACAGACACUGGGACCUCUUUGAGGGUGGAGGGUAGGAGGAGGGAGAGGAGCAGAAAAACAUUAAUCUUGUUGUACAGAUUAUUUUGUCACCCAGGUACUAAAUGUGGUACUAUUGGGUACCCUACCACUGUUUUAUCAAACAAGUUUCUGUAAUAGUAUAAAUCCUUUGUUGUCAUUACAACAAUGUUCAUGGCAUCUUCACCAGGAGUAAAUCUCAUCUCAAGAAACCACUUUUUUUGCUUAUCCAUAAGAAGCAACUCCUCAUCUAUUCAAAUUUGAUCAUGAGAUUGCAGCAAUCUGGUCACAUCUUCAGGUUCACUCUAAUUCAAGUUCUCUUGCUGUUUCUACCACAUCCACAGUUACUUCCUUCACUGAAAUUUUGAACCUGUCAAAAUUUGGUACCUUACUGUUGUGUACCAGGUUUAGUACCUGGGUGACAAAAUAAUCUGUACAACAGACCCCCCGUGAUACCAGUUAACCUAGGUAACAAACCUGCACAUGUACUCCUGAACCUGAAAUAAAAAAAAAAAAAAUGGGAAUUUUUAGGUUACAAGUUCUUUUUCUGUGAAAUAAGUCCCCAGCCAUUGCAUCAAAUACUCAGUAAAUCCUUCUAGCAAUAUGGGAGUGAUUUGGGCAAAAUCAGAAGAAACCCACAAAAACUCUGUUGCACAUCAUUGUGCUGAACCUCUAUUAAUCUCAGUAGGGAAGACACCAGGCUCAAGAGGCCAAAGAAGACACUCAGAGCCAGUAAAUGAGACAUGGGGUCUUAUUAGGGGCUUCCACACAAGGGAGACAGUGCAGCGACAGCGGGCUGGACAAGAUAACCACAGGGCCCAGUAGCUGCGGGCUGGAGAGGAAAACCACAACUGCCUGCAAAUGU
rnacentral:lncRNA from 10 species